rnacentral:rRNA from 1 species
UACGUAGGGACCGAGCGUUGUCCGGAAUCAUUGGGCGUAAAGAGCGUGUAGGCGGCUUGCUAAGUCUUGCGUGAAAUCUCGGGGCUCAACCCCCGAGCGGUCGGACGGGAAACUGGCAGGCUGAGAGUGCGGGAGAGGAGAAUGGAAUUCCUGGUGUAAGCGGUGAAAUGCGCAGAUAGUCAAGGAAGAACCACCCGUGGCGAAGGCGGUUCUCUGGAACGCAACUGACGCUGAGGCGCGAAGGCGUGGGGAGCGAACGGG